rnacentral:rRNA from 1 species
UACGUAGGGUGCAAGCGUUGUCCGGAAUUAUUGGGCGUAAAGAGCUCGUAGGCGGUCUGUCGCGUCGGCUGUGAAAUCCCGAGGCUCAACCUCGGGUCUGCAGUCGAUACGGGCAAACUGGAGUGUUGCAGGGGAGAAUGGAAUUCCAGGUGUAGCGGUGAAAUGCGUAGAUAUCAGGAGGAACACCAAUAGCGAAGGCAGCUCGCUGGGACGGUACUGACGCUGAGGAGCGAAAGCGUGGGGAGCGAACAGG